rnacentral:rRNA from 1 species
ACGAUACUAGCUUGCUAGUAGGCGUCGAGUGGCGGACGGGUGAGUAACGCGUAGGAAUCUACCUGAUAGUGGGGGAUAGCCCGAAGAAAUUCGGAUUAAUACCGCAUAAUCUAUUCGUAGUAAAGUGGGGGACUUUCGAGCCUCACGCUAUCAGAUGAGCCUGCGUAAGAUUAGCUAGUUGGUAGGGUAAAAGCCUACCAAGGCGACGAUCUUUAGCUGGUCUGAGAGGAUGAUCAGCCACAUCGGGACUGAGACACGGCCCGAACUCCUACGGGAGGCAGCAGUGGGGAAUAUUGGACAAUGGGGGCAACCCUGAUCCAGCAAUACCGCGUGUGUGAAGAAGGCCUGAGGGUUGUAAAGCACUUUCAAUUGUGAAGAAAAGCUAGUGGUUAAUAGCCAUUAGCCUUGACGUUAACUUUAGAAGAAGCACCGGCUAACUCCGUGCCAGCAGCCGCGGUAAUACGGAGGGUGCAAGCGUUAAUCGGAAUUACUGGGCGUAAAGCGUGCGUAGGCGGUUUAUUAAGUCAGAUGUGAAAGCCCCGGGCUUAACCUGGGAACUGCAUUUGAAACUGGUCAACUAGAGUAUGGUAGAGGAAAGUGGAAUUUCUGGUGUAGCGGUGAAAUGCGUAGAUAUCAGAAGGAACAUCAAUGGCGAAGGCAACUUUCUGGACCAAUACUGACGCUGAGGUACGAAAGCGUG